rnacentral:rRNA from 1 species
AUUGCCUUUAGUAACGGGCGAGUGAAGCGGCAACAGCUCAAAUUUGAAAGCUGGCCCUUUUAGGGUCCGCGUUGUAAUUUGUAGAGGAUGAUUCGGCGAGGGCUCCUGCCUAAGUCCCCUGGAACGGGGCGUCAUAGAGGGUGAGAAUCCCGUAUGCGGUAGGUUGCCUUAGCCAUGUGAAUCUCCUUCGACGAGUCGAGUUGUUUGGGAAUGCAGCUCUAAAUGGGAGGUAAAUUUCUUCUAAAGCUAAAUACUGGCCAGAGACCGAUAGCGCACAAGUAGAGUGAUCGAAAGAUGAAAAGCACUUUGGAAAGAGAGUUAAAAAGUACGUGAAAUUGUUGAAAGGGAAGCGCUUGCAACCAGACUUGUCCGCAGUUGCUCAGCCGGUCUCCUGACCGGCGUACUCUUCUGCGGCCAGGCCAGCAUCAGUUCGGGCGGUCGGAUAAAGGCCUCGGGAAUGUAGCUCCUCUCGGGGAGUGUUAUAGCCCGGGGUGGAAUGCGACCAGCCUGGACUGAGGAUCUCGCUUCGGCAAGGAUGCUGGCGUAAUGGUUGUAAGCGGCCCGUCUUGAAACACGGACCAAGGAGUCUAACAUCUAUGCGAGUGUUCGGGUGUCAAACCCGUACGCGUAAUGAAAGUGAACGGAGGUGGGAACCCGCAAGGGUGCACCAUCGGCCGAUCCUGAUGUCUUCUGAUGGAUUUGAGCAAGAGCAUAGCUGUUGCGACCCGAAAGAUGGUGAACUAUGCCUGAAUAUGAUGAAGCCAGAGGAAACUCUGUUGGAGGCUCUCAGCGGUUCUGACAUGCAAAUCAAUCGUCAAAUUUGGGUAUAUGGCCGAAAGACUAAUCUACCAUCUAGUAGCUGGUUCCUGCCGAAGUUUCCCUCACGAUAGCAGUAACGUAUUCAUUUUUAUGAGAUAAAACAAAUGAUUAGAAGACCUGCGGCUGAAACAGCCUUAACCUAUUCUCAAACUUUAAUAUUUAAAAAGUCUUUGUGCUUAGUUGAACUUGACCUUGGAAUGUACGGUACCAAUGAACCAUUUUGGUUAUUGGGACUGCCAACCGGGAUGAACGA